UCCUCUGUUACUUACAGGUUGCUACUCAUUGACGUAAAGGAGUACAGCCCUGAGAAAACGUGCCAACUUACUUUUUCAACAACCUGCCCAAACGACUCAAAAACUAUAAAACGUUCGUGAUGGGCUGCAGCUGAUUGAAUUGCAAACCUGACAACAUCAACGCAAUAACCAUCACUAUGAAAAAGGAAUCUCGCUACAAAUGAGAGAAAAUAAUAUAAGAACGACCCAAAAUCAAAAGGAAAUUUCUACAAAGAGCGCUCGUGUUGUGACACUUCUUCGUCGGCCCCAACGCCACCGACCGCAACCCAGGACACCCAGGAGCCGUACUACUUGAUAAUUAAUUAAGGAAGACCAGAAAAGUUAAAGUUUGGCAGACUAUUGAAUGUUAAAAUUGUUCUGCACUGUUUAAUUUUAAGCCAUUUUAUCUAGUAACUUUAA